rnacentral:rRNA from 1 species
CCUACGGGGGACAGCAGUGAGGAAUAUUGGUCAAUGGACGAGAGUCUGAACCAGCCAAGUAGCGUGAAGGAUGACUGCCCUAUGGGUUGUAAACUUCUUUUAUAUGGAAAUAAAAUGUUCCACGUGUGGGAUUUUGUAUGUACCAUAUGAAUAAGGAUAGGCUAACUCCGUGCCAGCAGCCGCGGUAAUACGGAGGAUCCGAGCGUUAUCCGGAUUUAUUGGGUUUAAAGGGAGCGUAGGUGGAUUGUUAAGUCAGUUGUGAAAGUUUGCGGCUCAACCGUAAAAUUGCAGUUGAAACUGGCAGUCUUGAGUGCAGUGGAGGUGGGCGGAAUUCGUGGUGUAGCGGUGAAAUGCUUAGAUAUCACGAAGAACUCCGAUUGCGAAGGCAGUUCACUGGACUGCAACUGACACUGAGGCUCGAAAGUGUGGGUAUCAAACAGGAUUAGAUACCCCUGUAGUC